rnacentral:rRNA from 1 species
UCUGGUUGAUCUGCCAGUAGUUAUUGCUUGUCUCAAAGAUUAAGCCAUGCAUGUCUAAGUACACCGAAUUAAAAUGAAACCGGCAAAAGGCUCAUUAUAUCAGUUAUGGUUCCUUAGAUGUUAACAGUUAUUGGAUAACUGUGGUAAUUCUAGAGCUAAUACAUGCAAUUAAACAUGAACCUUAUGGGACAUGUGCUUUUAUUAGGCUAAAACCAAGCGAUCGCAAGAUCGUUAUAUUGUUGAACUCUAGAUAACAUGCAGAUCGUAUGGUCUGUACCGACGACAGAUCUUUCAAAUGUCUGCCCUAUCAACUUUUGAUGGUAGUAUCUAGGACUACCAUGGUUGCAACGGGUAACGGGGAAUCAGGGUUCGAUUCCGGAGAGGGAGCCUGAGAAACGGCUACCACACUAAGGAAGGCAGCAGGCGCGUAAAUUACCCACUCCCAGCUCGGGAGGUAGUGACGAAAAAUAACAAUACAGGACUCAUAUGCCAGGCCCUGUAAUUGGAAUGAGUACACUUUAAUCUUUAACAAGGACCAAUUGAGGGCAAGUCUGGUGCCAGCAGCCGCGGUAAUUCCAGCUCCAAUAGCGUAAUUAAGUUGUUGCGUUAAACGUUCGUAGUUGAACUUGUGCUUCAUACGGGUAGUACAACUUACAAUUGUGGUUAGUACUAUACCUUUAUGUAUGUAACGUAUUACCGGUGGAGUUCUUAUAUGUGAUUAAAUACUUGUAUUUUUUCAUAUGUUCCUCCUAUUUAAAACCUGCAUUAGUGUCUUAAACGAGUGUUAUUGUGGGCCGGUACUAUUACUGUUGAACAAAUUAGAGUGCUUAAAGCAGGCUUCAAAUGCCUGAAUAUUCUGUGCAUGGGAUAAUGAAAUAAGACCUCUGUUCUGUUUCAUUGGUUUUCAGAUCAAGAGUAAUGAUUAAUAGAAGCAGUUUGGGGCAUUAGUAUUACGGACGCGAGAGGUGAAAUUCUUGGACGUCGUAAAGACUAUACUUAAGCGAAAGCAUUUGCCAAAGAGUUUUCAUUAAUCAAGACGAAAGUUAGAGGUUCGGAAGGCGAUCAGAUACCGCCCUAGUUCUAACAUAAACGAUGCCAGCUAGCAAUUGGGUGUAGCUACUUUUAUGGUCUCUCAGUCGCUUCCCGGGAAACAAAGCUUUUGGGCUCCGGGGAAGUAUGGUUGCAAAGCUGAAACUUAAAGGAAUUGACGGAAGGCACCACCAGGAGUGGAGCUGCGGCUUAAUUUGACUCAACACGGGAAACUUACAGGUCCGAACAUAAGUGUGUAAGACAGAUUGAUAGUCUUCUCGAAUCUAUGGGUGGGUGGUGCAUGGCCGUUCUUAUUCGUGAGUGAUUUGUCUGGUUAAUUUCCGAAUAACGAAAGAGACUCAAAUAUAUUAAAUAGAUAUCUUCAGGAUAUUGGUGCUGAAGCUUAUGUAGCCUUCAUUCAUGUUGGCAGUAAAAUGCUUAUUGUGUUUGAAUGUGUUAUGUAAGUGAGCCGUACCUGUUUGGUUUGUCCCAUUAUAUAGGACACUAGCUUCUUAAAUG